AAACAUAUGCUGUGAAAUAAUUAAACAUUGAAGAAUUCUAUUACAUCAAACAAAGACUACAUAAAUGAGCCACCACUUUACUGCCUAACAUGCUUUUUGCCUUUUAGUAGUCUAUUCAAGGCUGUAAAACAAUUGUAACAUUGGCAUACGACAAUCAUCCAAGGAACACCCCAAACUUAUGACCAUCUCAGAAUUUUGAUCAACAAAUAAAAUUUUAUUCCCGCUAGACCUCUAAUUUCUAUUAAUAUUGAAGAAUUGUACAUGAAAUCUAGCAUACAAAGUUUUUACAGCCACCAUCUAUUAACUUAAUCAAUGAGUAAAAAAAUGAAAGUAAAUUUAUUACCUAUACCUCCAAGUAUUAUCUACGUCCCUAGGUAAGGCCAAAGUAAGCUAUCACCUUAAUGCACCAAGCUCCUCAAUAUCUCAUUGAUUUUGCAGAACAACAGUUCCAAAGCCCUCAAGGAUGUCAAUAUGUACAAAACAAGAAUUGACAUGUAACUGCAGAAGGGGAUGUUUGGAUAUGGUUCCCUUCCAGGCUUAUCAUCAUAAGGCGGUAACAGCUGAACUAUCACACAACCGCAGAUGCUGUACGACGAAGAUCUGCAACCCCAUUGUUGAAUUUCUCACUAGGCUGCCUGCCUUUGAAACUUCCAUAUCUUCCUGGCUUGGGUUGAAAUAGAGAGGCAAGCAUUUGCUCCAAGGCCUGCACGGAGUAUUUAGCAUAUUUACUUGAACUUCCAUCCUGCUCAACCAAGGGCCCAUAGUUCUGCAUAUAACUUCGAUAAACAGGAACAACCGCUUGCACUAUCAAUUGGCAUGUCUUCUCCCUGAGGUCUCUCUCGGGCAUAACCCAGUUUGACUGCUUCCUGUACAUUUCAUCAAAAGCUUCAUUGAAAGUCUUCAGCCUUUUCUUGACAAGAUCACGAGCAGUGGCACGCCCACCUGAGAAAAGAAUAAGACCUUCCCGACUUAGAUGACUGGGAAGCUUCCCCCAACUGUCUCUCAAGAAGAUCGUGGCAUAAUAGUCCUUGUACUGCUCAUGUUCUCUUAACCAAGAAUCUCCCAAGAGAUCUCCAAGUUUUGUUCCUUUUAAGUGCUUGUACAAAUGAUAGUGGUUGUUCAUAGCAAAAAGGUUAGAUAGGAUGGUGUCUUCGUAAGCCUUUGUCCAAGUCUCCACAUUGAGCUCAAUGGCUUUUAUUACAUUCAGUACCUCAGUAACAAGGAGUCUCUCCUGAAACCUCUCGUGCUUCCAACUUCGAUGAAUGAUCAGAACCUGGGUCAGAAUGGGCUUAUAGUCAUCCCCAAGAAGCUUAUUACAGUAAUCAGUGAUAAAGCUUACUAGUCUCGGCACACCCCCAUCUGGAGGAGGAGGAAUCUGCCUCUGCAACUCCACCUGAACCAAAAGUUCCCAGAAAAUCUCGGAUGCCCCAUCAAUCACCCUCUUAAUGAGGUCCCUUGUAAGGUUUUGGAUCUCAAUACAGGCUGCUCCACCAAAGAGCCUGUUAAAAUCCAGCCUUAACUUGUUUAGAGAUGCGAAUAUAUCCAGCAACUUCAAAAGCUUGAUCGGGUCUUUUUUACUUUCUGCAACAGUCUUCCCAAAUUGAAGAAAUGCAAGAAAACCUGCUUGAGCAGCUAUACUGGAAAAGCAUCCCAUCCACACAUCCAAUCCAAUCCUCUCAAACACAUCAUUGCAAAGCUUGUACUCCGCUUCAAACAAAUGUUUCACUGCAAACUCCAAAUGCUUGCCCCACUGAGCUAUAUAGCCCUCUAUGCUCUGCACAUCAUUGAAUUCAGCUAUGGAGAUCUCAAGAUAAUCCAAAUCAAGAGCCUGCAAACUGGCUCUAACAUUUGAACCACGUACUUCAACAUAGAUUGAUAUGCACCUUUCAAGCCUAUUAUUAACAAUCAACCGCCCAAGAAUUGCUUGCAACUUCUGAAUGACAGUUACAGGUAACGGUGAUGGUGCAAUUACUGCCUGUUGGCCCAGGGAUGAAGGGGAAGACAUUGGAAGUGGCACACUGUGUUCUGACAACAGCCGUCGAAACUCGCCUUCCAAUUUAUCCAAGGCAGCAUCUAAAAGUCCACCGUCAAGGCGAGCCUUUUGAUCAUCACUUUGCAAUUCCCUAAGAUUCUUCAAUGACUUCUUCAAAUUGGUAAGAAACCGCGCAUCCGCCACAGUAUUAUCCUCCAAAUACUCAACUAUAUCCUCCAACCACUGAAUUGCCAAUCCACAAUUAUCUCCCAGAAACCUCAAUGCCUCUUCAAGGCGCUUCAAUACAGACAAAUAACCAGGAAGAUCAUUUUUUGGAUCUGAUAAAAGCGACUUUUCUAGACCAUGAACAGCAUCAAAAACCUUAAGCACUGCCGCAGCAGGACCAACAGCACGGUUAAUGUGGCCACCAACAGUAGCAAGGGCAUCCUCAUCAGCUAGAAUGGGGCGUACAGCCGCCUCUAGAGAAGGCAAUCUCUGCUUAAUCUCAUCCAAUCUAGGUCCUGCUUUGUCAAGAGCAAACCCUAAGGCUUUUGAUUUGUCUAAGCUAAGCUUCAAUGACUUCCUUGCAGCUAUCAAAUUCUGAAUUCUACCUUUAUCAUCGCCAUUACCGCUAACGGAAUCCCCCAUUCCAAUCCCCAAACACUGCAACUAAAACUCUUUAAUCCAAAAAAACAAAAAAAAAAAAUCACAGCUUCGGGCUACGAAUCUCCGUCAAUUCAGACUAUACUAAGCUCCAAAAAUCGAGAUUUGAUUUAUUCAGCCUCUUAAUGAUCUUAUGAUGUUGCCUUUGGACUUAUCGAAGAAUGUUUUCAAAUCAAGCUGGACUCAUAUAAGAACAUAUCUUCAUUUCUACACUCUUCACAGAAAAAAAAAAAAUCAACAAAUCAAACCAAACCCAGCAAGAAAAUACAAACUGAUACUAAAAUUCACAGCAAGAGAGAGAUAGUUUCGUUGAGGUAGGUAGGAAAAUGAGAGAGAAGUGAGAGAAAAAUUACUCGAAAAUGACGGUCAAAGUUAGAGGUUCGAACUAUAGAGCUUGAAGGAGCGUGUUCGACCCGGCGAGAGCGAGCUGGAAAAGAAGAAGAAUAACAGUGUAAGAAUCUGAAUCGGUGAGUUUUAGAUUCAGAAAGAGAAUGAAAUUACAGAAAGAAAAACCCUAAAAUCUUUUAGAGAGAAAAAAAGAGAGAGAAUUUUACAGCUGUUUUUUUAUUUUUAUUUUUUGCAAUUUUCUGACGUAGAAAUGCUUAAGAGCUUAAGCUGUUUUUGUUUUCCACUAAUUGUACUUAAGGCUCUGUAAGAUAGAGAGAUUAGAGAACGUUAAAAAGGUUUUAAGAGUUUAUAAUUUAGGUAAGAAAAUUUAUUGGGUGAUAAGCGUGUAGGUAUAAUCGGGUCUUGCUCUAUACGUGGCUCUCAGGCAGAGCAUUUGCUUCUCAGGCGGCUCUAUACGUGGCUUCCAUGCAGUGCAUUUAUAUGGAAACGAAAAGAAGAAAUACAGUUGCCCGUGCUGUCCAUAGUGGUUUUAGUGUUGUUGAGACCAACGCACGCUGCCUCUCACUUUCCUUUCAAAUUUCUCAUCCUCCUUACUAUUUUCUCCGUUCAAAGUCUGAAACCUUUAUUUGACCCUUUCCAA
rnacentral:misc_RNA from 1 species